GCAGACCAAAUCUGCCUUUUAGAGGAAAAGGUGUCACUGGAUUGCAGAGGGAAAGCUUGUGUAGCAGCUGGGUGCUCUCACCUGAUAGCACCGAGAGCUGCCACACAGCUUGUUAUGGGCUUUUCAUUUAAGGAGAAAAAUAUUGCCCAGAUCAACCGAGUAGUUCUGGACCUGUAUUUUGUAUUCCAAAGGCAAAGGGAUUCACCAAGACACACAGCAAAUGCAGUGCUGGGGCUGGAGCACAGAGGCACAGAUGAAGGAGAGAGAUGGAGAAUGAUUUGUCUUGCCAAAGCUUCACAAACAAGUGAAUGUCACAGGUAUGGUCUUAACUCAGGAGAUCCUGGACUCCUCGUGUCUUGUGGACAGCCUCAUACUCUGCUGCGUGCUGGCACAUGUUGCAAGCUACAAGAUAAUGCUUCAGAAAGAGAAAACAAAUAAACAAAAGCAGCUGGAAAUUCCUUCCUGACCCCCUAUGACAGCUAUGUGGCACAGAAGAUGAGCUCCUCCCUCUGUCUGUGGCUGAUGAAGGAGGCUGAAUUGUCCUGCCUGAUGAAGUCCAGUCUCCCUCUUCUUCUGCUUUCUUGUAGACACAUUUGCAGCAUUUCUAUCAGUG
rnacentral:lncRNA from 1 species